UACGUAGGGUGCGAGCGUUAAUCGGAAUUACUGGGCGUAAAGCGUGCGCAGGCGGUUUGUUAAGCCGGAUGUGAAAGCCCCGGGCUCAACCUGGGAACUGCGUUUGGUACUGGCAAGCUAGAGUACGGCAGAGGGGGGUGGAAUUCCACGUGUAGCAGUGAAAUGCGUAGAGAUGUGGAGGAACACCGAUGGCGAAGGCAGCCCCCUGGGCCGAUACUGACGCUCAGGCACGAAAGCGUGGGGAGCAAACAGG
rnacentral:rRNA from 1 species